CUAAGAAUAUUCCGCAAUGGACGAAAGUCUGACGGAGCGACGCCGCGUGGAUGAGGAAGGCCGAAAGGUUGUAAAAUCCUUUUGCAGGCGCAGAAGAAGGCGCGGAGGGAAUGCCGCGCCGGUGACAAAGGCCUGUGAAUAAGCCCCGGCUAAUUACGUGCCAGCAGCCGCGGUAACACGUAAGGGGCGAGCGUUGUUCGGAAUUAUUGGGCGUAAAGGGCGCGUAGGCGGCCUGGCAAGUCCGGCGUGAAAUAUCGGGGCUUAACCCCGGGGCUGCGCUGGAAACUGCCUGGCUUGAGUCACGGAGGGGCAGCCGGAAUUCCUGGUGGAGGGGUGAAAUCUGUAGAUAUCAGGAAGAACACCGGUGGCGAAGGCGGGCUGCCAGCCGAUGACUGACGCUGAGGCGCGAAAGUGCGGGGAGCAAACAGGAUUAGAUACCCUGGUAGUCCGCACUGUAAACGAUGUGCACUAGGUGUCGGGGCGAGUCGUCUCGGUCGCCGGAGCGAACGCGAUAAGUGCACCGCCU
rnacentral:rRNA from 1 species